CAAUACAAUGAGGAGGAUGUGCUGAUUUGGAAAAUGAAUAAAGGAAGUCGAAUUAACGCUGAUUAACGUGAUGAAAACCGUUGAGCAAAAUGUUCAGAAAAAUUUUAUCUACACUUAUUUUGCAAUUUAUUCUUAAUGUGUUAUACUGCUGUACAGUACCUAAUACUGUAAUACCUGUUACCUAAGCUUUGCUACUCUCGGGAAAAUCAAUCGUAAUGUGCCGAAACAAUCAAUUAUUCAAUUUCGAUAAGAAACAUCGUGUUUCUUUGUUCACAAACAAUUAUAUAGUGCUGGUGCAUGAUUUUGGGCGUGUGAAUUAAAAUGAAGUGGGAUCUGUAUGUCACCAUCAUGCAGUGUGUCUUGUUGGAAUUAGCAACGCAUUUGAGACAGCAUCGUUUCAUAGUGGCAGUGGUUACAAUGCCAAAAUUACCGCAGACCGCAGAGAAAAUACACUUACUUAGCUGAGAUUCUGAAUCAAACAACUGGUUGCCUUAUAGAUUGUUUUUGGCUAUUGACUAACUCAUGGGUUGAACCUGCGGGCAAAAAAAUUGAAGGUGUAUAUCAAUUUAGACGGUGCGUGGUGAAUCAGGCUGCCUUCUUGAGAAGGAUUACAACUCCCAUGAUCCAAUAUGACAUCAGAUCGAAGUUUCGUUAAAUUUUAGAAAAUACGUGUUAUAAUUUUUAGCCGACAGACAAGCACAUAUUUAUUGUCUGAAAAAAAAACUACAGGCAAGAAAAUUGAAGGUCUAUAUCAGUUUGGAUGCGAAUCAGAGCGGUUUUCUUCACGAGGCUUAUGAGUCUUUAUGGCUAAUAUGGCAUCCACUUUUAUCGAAUCACAUGGAAGCUAAAAUUAAUUUCACCAUCAUCAAGUAUGAAUACUUCCGUUCCAAAAAACAAAAUUGCAUUAUUGUUUACCAUUAUGAUAACUUAUCUUGAAUUUCAUAAAGUGCAGCUGUUUUAUGAAAGUGCUCUGAUUGUGGGAAACUGUGUGUGUGAAGUGGAAUCCAGAAAAAUAAUUUAAUUAGUUAGGUUCUACCUUUAUUCUGCGAAAUAUAUAAAACGAACCAAAACUAAAAUGUUGAUUAUAAAUUGCAUAAAAGAUAAAAUAAACUAAUAGGUAUAACUAAAGAUAAAACACAGAAAAUAAUAACAAAACAAACUAGACGAAACAAUUCAUUAAAAACCACCUUAGCCUACCUAAAAAGUGAAUUUCUUAAUGAGGUUAAUAAGCUAUAGAUUCUUUAUGGCGAAUUUCCAAGUACCUAAAGUUGAUAAAGACUCUGACUCUAGACUUACAGAAUAAUUCAAAAGCUAAAAAAAAGAAAACGAGAAAAAAUAAGCGAUCAGUGAUUUAGUAUAUUUCAGUUUUCUUUCUUUUUUUUUUUUUUGUAUAAUAUGUGGGCCUUUAGAUUUACGUAUAUAACCAUUUAAUUUCCAACAUCAUCAAAUACUACUUAAAUUAGUUGGAUAGAAUUUUAUACUCACUGUUAGAUGAACUUCAUGACGCGGAGGUGCUGAAGGAGGAGGGAUGCUGAGUUCUUUAGCUUCUCCUUCGGACCAUGAUGAUGACAACAACUUCAAUUUGGCAUCUCCUUCAUUCUUUGUCGGCCAUAUUGAACAAUGAGGUACCUAACUGAAGAUUACUUACAAUAGCUCCUGAAUCGAGUUAAACGCAUAAUUAUAAGAAAUCAAAAUGAUGUUGCAUAUGCAUGUACAUACUUAGGUAAAUUAAUAGAUUUCCUUUUUCCAAGUAAGAUGAAGUGUAAAAAAAACUCUUACUGUUCUGGAUUCUAUACUCUUUCUAACAGUACAUACACCAUCAGACUGAUGAUGAUAUCAUAGUCCAUAAAAAUUAGAACAAUUAUGCCUCUCAUAAAAUAUAAAGGUUCUUUAUAUAUGUAAAAUGACCAAACACAGGUCUUUGAUUUUUAAUAACAAUGAAUAGGUACACAUUAAAAUUAAGCCGAGCUCCUGCCCUAUCAGGAUAUGGUAUAAAGGGAUGAGAAAAAUCGCAUUUCAUUCCUAAUCCUAUUGUUUCCCCAUCUGAAAAUUCAAAUUGUGGUUCCACUUUUGUAAAUCAAGGUUCCACCUCUUCAAAUUGUGGCAGUAUACCUCUGCACAUUAUGAUUUAAUUUCUUCAAAUUCUGGUUCAAUCUCUGAUAAUUGACUCUCUUGUAUAACAUUUUUAUCUGUAACAUGAAUUAAUUAAAAGAAAUAAAGAAAACGAAUUAGAGGUAAUUUUAUUCAAUAUUUUAACAAAUAUACACAUUUUAAAAUAAAAUAAACAAAUUACUAAAAAUAUUGUCCGUCUGAGAAUUUACUGUCGAAUAUUAUAUGCUGUGACACUUUAAAUAAGAAAAUUUACAGUAGCCUAAUAGGCAGGAGAGAAAAAUAUAUAACUCCGACACAAUCAAAAGGAAAUAAAAUCAGUCCAAUACGUUUUUCUAUUAAAUUAAGUAUAAAUAACAACAUAACAAGGCACACAAAAAUGAAUACCAUACCUACUUCAUUACUUUUCAAUAUUAUCAACUAGCAUUAUUCUCUCCAAAUUAUAAGACUACGAACAAAAACACAGCAGAUGAAAAAUAGGUACAAAUACAUACAACAACUAUCAUAGAGCAAAGAGUUGCAAUGGACAUAUUUUUUUGAUGUUUUUUGUAAAAGUUGAACUUCAGCAUGAGAUUCAGCUUAGACAAAUAUGAAGCUUUGCAAAAUUUAAGGAAACAAUGACUCCUGUUUUAAAUGGCAAAAUAUAGCCUUGCAUUUGUGAGGUAAAAUCUGGUCAUUACAUUAUUUAACACUCAUAAAAAUGAACUUGGAAGAAUUGCUCCCCACCCUCUCCCCAAUUCCUAAUGAACUUACUCAAUAACAGGGCCGGCGGAAGCCCAGGUGCUGGCCAGGAUUUUCACCAGGUGCAAUGCACCUGGCAAAAAUGUCAAAACAUAAACCUAUUUUUGUAUGUACAAGUACAAAUUUUAAAACAAAUCAAAAUCUCUCGAAUUUAAAAAUUAUAUAAAUUAAAAAAAAAAAAUGGAAUUUUUAUUUCUGUUGCAUACAAAGUACGAGUACAUAGUCCUGAAUUUUGACAAAAAAUUGGUGACGAAGUUUACUGAGAGGGAGAUUACCUACUUAGAAAAUCAGAUCUUUAGUGUUGAAAAAAAUACUUACCUAUGUUUUUAUACAAACCCCUUCUCAAAAUAAACCGUGAUGCAAGCAUUACAAAACUUUCCGAAUGUUGGGGAGCACUUGGCAUAAAAGCCGUUCAUAACAUCUGGAGCGCCUUCGCAUUCACUGCGCUAAGGAUAACAACUGGUUUUCUGUGACGUCAUUGACGUACCAUUGAAUAGGGAACGCCAUGAGUUUUCGCAACAAAAUGCUCGUAAUUUUUCCCCCAUUCUAGAUAGGAAUCUGAAAAGCUUAUUGUGACAUCCUCCAAUGGGACCUAUCAUUAGGUGCAAGUUUCAACUUAGUAUCUCAAUUAGGGUGUCUGCAAUCGUGUUCACAAACUUUUGUGCACAUACAAUGCACAUACAUACAUACCUACGUAAAUACAUACAUACAUACAUACAUACAAAACCGACCGAUUACAAUACUUUCCUUACAUCGCUGCGCGCUGUUUGGAAAGUAAAAAGGGCCAAGACUGAAUUAUGAUGAAUUGAAUUAUAUUUUUUUGGUUAUGUAAAUAGGUAUCCCUGUAUUGUUGUAUUGUUUUCAACCAUUUUUUUUCUCAAAAAUAAUAAAUUUCAAACAUUUUGGCGCUUUUAAAGUGAUGGAUGAGAGGUAGAUGAAACUAUUUUUUUCGGAGUUCCAGUUUUCGUUAUUGUAUUCUUUUAAACAUCAUUCAAUUCUUGUUGAAAAUUGACCUUACACGUCCCUGCCGAUUGAAUUUUCUCAAACUUGGAAAAACCUAUCAAAUGAAAUCUUAUCUAAUUGAGCAAUAGGGAUUUGACAAGACAACUGUCGCGCUCUAGGAAAUUGUAGUAAAAAACACGGGAACUAACGAAAGGUCCCGUUGUUAUCAGCAAUUUUCAACAAUUUUCCUUCAAUUUUCACAACAAUACAUUCCAAUGUUUAUUCGGGGACCUUUCAUCAGCCAAUCAGAAACAAGGCAACACUAGCGCGGCGACCCUCUGUCAAGUUCCUAUUUUUUAUAUCUUUGGAACGUGUCUCAUGCAUACUUGAAAAAGCUGUGAAAAAAUUAGUUUGAUCUCAAAAACCUAUCCAUUUUGGAAGAUAGAAAAUUUGAAAUUAUAUUUUGUAUUGAAUAAUUCUAAUCUAAAGGGGGAAAAACUGAUUUUUUUUAAAGCAGUUGAUUAUUGAUUCAGAAUAUAUAUUUGAAUAUUUCUAACUUUCAAAGACCUAAUCAUUUUAAGAUGUUUCAAAAACUCACUAAAAAUUAAAGGAUCAAUAGUUUUUUUUCAGCUAAAAAAAAUCCAGACUUCAAUUUGAAAAAUCAAUUCAAUUGAAACAUUUUCAGUUUUCUUUCCAGCUGUGCGUUUGUAUAGACAAUGCAGUGCUGAUUGCUGCAAUCUCACCACAUUUUUUUCACCCCCCCCCCCGCUAAUUCAAGAUUUUUGUGGUUUCUGUUUACCCCCCCCCCCUCCAAAUUAUUCACACUUUUCACCAAAUUACAAUAAUUUAGAGUUUGCACCUGGCGAGAAAUUGAAAAAGUGCCGGCCCUGCUCAAUGAACAAGUGGUAUAAAUAUUUCACUGAGAAAAUGUUAUUAUAAUUAUAAUGAUGGAAUCUGCCCUUAAGAAAAAACACGUACCUUUUCACUAGAUGGUAUGAGACAAAAUAUGAAACAGAGCCAAAAAUUUGAGGGCUGGAAAAUCUUCCAAACUUCAGAGUCAGGUUAGAUUAUUAAACUUUUUUGAGGGAUAGAUUUACAAAAAAAUAAAAAUACUUUUAACACCAUUACACAUUUUUUUUAAACAUUUUAUUUAACAAGGUUCAUUACAAUCUUAAGAAGACCUUAAAUAAGUAAUGCAUCUGACUUUAAACUUUAAACAAGUUAGUUACGUACAUGACAUGUGCAGGGUUCUCUCCAGUGAGAGUACUCUAUUUAUUUUUUAUAAUAUCUAUGCCCAAGUCGUGAGGUUUUAAAUGAUGAAUGUUUCUUUGCUUUGAGCUUAUUUUGUGAGUUUUCAACUUGAGAAAUUUUUUUAUCCAUUUUUUUAAAAGCAGUUCGCAAAUGUCUCUUGAGCUUGGCUGCUCUUCCAGCCCACUGGUUCAUCUGAUUCAUUGGUGUUAUUCUUUGGAAGGUUUCUUUUGACAAUUUUGGCUUGUUCAGGUUUCUGAGUUGUUAUCUGCUCCUGGCUUUAUGUGGUCCUUUGCUUGACACGAUCAGUACUGUCAUAUUUGGUUCAGAUAUAACAGCAAUUUUUGCUUGAUAUACUGGACACCUAAGUUAGCUGUAUGAUCACCAUUACAAAUUAGCACACUUGGCUAGGUCUUCUUUCUUCUUCCUACAUUGCUUUGUUUCAUGGUCAAAUCCACACUUGACACAUCUGGGUUUCCUUGCACAGUAUGUUUUGGUAUGACCAACUUGCUGGCAGUUUUUACAUUGAGGUAGCUCCCUCUUUUUUGCCGGAGGUUCUACCUUCACUUUAGUGUGCAACAAGAACCCCAUUUCAUAAAUGGUCUUGUUGUUUUCUUUUGGGCUAAAAUUAAAAAACAAAAUUUUUUGUUUUACCUAAACAGGUUUCAAAAUUCAAAAACUUUUAAAACAUGUUUAAAAGAGGCCAAACUUACUUGAAUUUAGGUUUAAAACAAUUUUUAAUUUUUUAUCUGAUACUGUAAUUGAUAUGAUUGUAUGGAAUAGAUAUUUCAUAAAUUGAAUUAUGAACGAUGUUGAUACACACAAAACAUACUAAUUAAUUAAUUAAAACUCAACGCAACAUCUUACAUUAACGUUGCAACAGUACUACCCCUACUUGACAGUAUUGUCUUUUUGUUGCAGUCUAACUUCGCCUCUGAGGCCAGCUCAAAGGGUGGCUGAGCAUGGUCCAGAGCUGAAAAUUAAAUAAUUAUGAAAAUUAAAUUUUUAAACUAUUUGUUUACAAUUACCCUACUUAGUUUUUAAAAACCAAGCUGAUUGUGAACACAAACAGAUUUUUAAAGAAAAUUAAGCAUUUUGAAAAAUUGCAAGUACCUAUGUAUUUGUAAUAUUGUAGAGUGUAAAAUUCUUUAACUGCUCAAAGUGACUAGUGAGUAAUUUUUCUUCAGGAAGUCAUGAUGAGGAAAUAGGUAUUCAAGAAAAACUGUUUGAAAAAACACCAGUGAAGAAACUGCCUUAAUUAAACAUCUGUGAGAAUAAAUUUUGGAAUUUUGAAAUUUUUACAGGCAUUUUUACUCGUAGAUUGCCAAGACUGACCUUAUUACAUGUACCUUAGUUUCAAUUAAUAGUGGGUACCAAUUGGGGUGGAAUUAUAUGAUUUAGUAGACCAUUAAGCGCCAAAUAUUACUGACAAUUUCUUGACGAGUGAGGUGAAGAAUAUUGAACUUGUUUGAGUGGGUAAAUCAUCAGUAGAUAAUGUAAGCUGUGUGAUUUGAAAUAUUAUUCUACAAAAUGUUGAAAAAAAAAAGUCUGCCGUCUAAGAAAAAAUAUUCCCUUUAAAACAUAAUACAAGUACAUUUGAAUAGUUUUACACACAAUGUUGUAAGAAAUAAAUUUAUAAUAAUCAAUACUGAUUGUAAUUUUACGUUUGUGUAGGUACUUAUCCAUUAGUUCGGUAUCUAUAAAAUUUAAAUUGUUUAUGGGUAGAUGUUUACUUCAGAUGCAAUAACAUGCAUCAUGUAGUCUAUAAAAUACUCAAUUUCAUUUGAUGCAGUUGGUAUAUUAUGAUGUGCAUUGUAAAAAAUAAAUAUUAAAUUUUUUUCGCUUUA